UCUAGCAUAGCUCCUUUGAACUAUCAGGAAAAUCAGAUGAUCAUAUUCAACGAGGAAGUCUUGUACAAAUGAACUAACUACUGAUCAAAUAAUUAAAUGGGUUGAGAGCCCGGUUUUGGAUCCUGGAACUGCCAGACUGCGUGUCCUCUUGCCUCAGAGCCACCUCAAAGGGCCCAAGAAUGAACCGGAUGAGUCCGUCCGGGUAAAGAAGGGAGUUCAAGAACAGCGCCUGGCCGCUUCAACUCCUACAAACCCAGGCUGGUAAGGGAGGUGACAAAACAAGGCUGUGCUCCUUCCUGGGCCACCAAGCAUUCCCAUC